rnacentral:rRNA from 1 species
AUUGAACGCUGGCGGCAUGCCUUACACAUGCAAGUCGAACGGUAACAGGUCUUCGGAUGCUGACGAGUGGCGAACGGGUGAGUAAUACAUCGGAACGUGCCUAGUAGUGGGGGAUAACUACUCGAAAGAGUGGCUAAUACCGCAUGAGAUCUACGGAUGAAAGCAGGGGAUCGCAAGACCUUGUGCUACUAUAGCGGCCGAUGGCAGAUUAGGUAGUUGGUGGGAUAAAAGCUUACCAAGCCGACGAUCUGUAGCUGGUCUGAGAGGACGAUCAGCCACACUGGGACUGAGAAACGGCCCAGACUCCUACGGGAGGCAGCAGUGGGGAAUUUUGGACAAUGGGCGCAAGCCUGAUCCAGCAAUGCCGCGUGCAGGAUGAAGGCCUUCGGGUUGUAAACUGCUUUUGUACGGAACGAAAAGCCCCGGGUUAAUACCCUGGGAUCAUGACGGUACCGUAAGAAUAAGCACCGGCUAACUACGUGCCAGCAGCCGCAGUAA